rnacentral:rRNA from 1 species
UACGAAGGGGGCUAGCGUUGCUCGGAAUGACUGGGCGUAAAGGGCGCGUAGGCGGAUGGCACAGUCAGAUGUGAAAUUCCCGGGCUUAACCUGGGGGCUGCAUUUGAUACGUGUGAUCUAGAGUGAGGAAGAGGGUCGUGGAAUUCCUGGUGUAGCGGUGAAAUGCGCAGAUAUCAGGAGGAACACCAGUGGCGAAGGCGGCGAUCUGGGAAGAUACUGACGCUGAGGCGCGAAAGCUCGGGGAGCGAACGGG